AUCUAGCUGACGAGUCCCAAAUAGGACGAAAGCCACGUCCUGGAU
rnacentral:hammerhead_ribozyme from 1 species